UAGGGAGACCUGCUAGAUUUCCACCGAAACCCAAAAAUUAAUCGGGGAAAUCAGCUAUCCCAAGGUCGUUACGAGACCGGAUAAUUUCUGGCUUUCAAACUCUUUGUUCGGUUCAGUAUAAUAAAAUACAGCACCUAAUCUGAAGUCAUCACUGACCAGAAAGACUGCUGGAUUUUAACCAGCAAUGGACCUUGAAAACUGCAUAAAGAAAAGAAUCAAAGGUAAAACUUUUCAAUUGACCUCUGUUAAAAGAGAUUAAUUGAAAAGCUGUCCAAAAAAAGAAGCCCAAAUUGU
rnacentral:misc_RNA from 1 species